GACGAACGCUGGCGGCGUGCCUAAUACAUGCAAGUAGAACGCACAGUUUAUACCGUAGCUUGCUACACCAUAAACUGUGAGUUGCGAACGGGUGAGUAACGCGUAGGUAACCUGCCUGGUAGCGGGGGAUAACUAUUGGAAACGAUAGCUAAUACCGCAUAAUAUUGAUUAUUGCAUGAUAAUUGAUUGAAAGAUGCUAUUGCAUCACUACCAGAUGGACCUGCGUUGUAUUAGCUAGUAGGUGAGGUAACGGCUCACCUAGGCGACGAUACAUAGCCGACCUGAGAGGGUGAUCGGCCACACUGGGACUGAGACACGGCCCAGACUCCUACGGGAGGCAGCAGUAGGGAAUCUUCGGCAAUGGACGAAAGUCUGACCGAGCAACGCCGCGUGAGUGAAGAAGGUUUUCGGAUCGUAAAGCUCUGUUGUAUGAGAAGAACGGGUGUGAGAGUGGAAAGUUCACACUGUGACGGUAUCUUACCAGAAAGGGACGGCUAACUACGUG
rnacentral:rRNA from 1 species